GCGCCUGUAGCUCAGGAGGAUAGAGCAACGGAUUUCUAAUCCGUCGGUCCCAGGUUCGAGUCCUGGCAGGCGCG
rnacentral:tRNA from 1 species